rnacentral:rRNA from 1 species
UACGUAGGGUGCGAGCGUUGUCCGGAAUUAUUGGGCGUAAAGAGCGUGUAGGCGGCCAGGUAGGUCUGCUGUGAAAACUCGAGGCUCAACCUCGAGCUGUCGGCGGAAACCAUUUGGCUAGAGUCCGGAAGAGGAAAGUGGAAUUCCUGGUGUAGCGGUGAAAUGCGCAGAUAUCAGGAGGAACACCAAUGGCGAAGGCAGCUCGCUGGAACGGUACUGACGCCUGGAGGCGCGAAAAGCGUGGGGAGCGAACAGG